rnacentral:rRNA from 1 species
CGCGUAGGUGGUUUGUUAAGUUGGAUGUGAAAGCCCCGGGCUCAACCUGGGAACUGCAUCCAAAACUGGCAAGCUAGAGUACGGUAGAGGGUGGUGGAAUUUCCUGUGUAGCGGUGAAAUGCGUAGAUAUAGGAAGGAACACCAGUGGCGAAGGCGACCACCUGGACUGAUACUGACACUGAGGUGCGAAAGCGUGGGGAGCAAAC